UCGUAUGGUGACAAGUCUCGUUAAUUCAGUAAAACGAGCGCGAUCUUAAUUAUAUAGAGAAAUUAUUUUCUAACCACCCUCAAGUUAGGGUAACCUGAGAAUAUUUUCUCCAUCGGUUGAACUUCUUUAAUGUUGUUCGACUGUGGAAUUAUAAGACAUUUGGUGUAAGGUAUAAAACCUGUAACCAACGGAAGAGUAAGGCGAGAAUA
rnacentral:rRNA from 1 species